UGACGGUACCGUAAGAAUAAGCACCGGCUAACUACGUGCCAGCAGCCGCGGUAAUACGUAGGGUGCAAGCGUUAAUCGGAAUUACUGGGCGUAAAGCGUGCGCAGGCGGUGAUGUAAGACAGGCGUGAAAUCCCCGGGCUCAACCUGGGAAUGGCGCUUGUGACUGCAUCGCUGGAGUGCGGCAAAGGGGGAUGGAAUUCCGCGUGUAGCAGUGAAAUGCGUAGAUAUGCGGAGGAACACCGAUGGCGAAGGCAAUCCCCUGGGCCUGCACUGACGCUCAUGCACGAAAGCGUGGGGAGCAAACAGGAUUAGAUACCCUGGUAGUCCACGCCCUAAACGAUGUCAACUGGUUGUUGGGUCUUAGCUGACUCAGUAACGAAGCUAACGCGUGAAGUUGACCGCCUGGGGAGUACGGCCGCA
rnacentral:rRNA from 1 species